AGCCUUCUGGAUCCGUGCCGAGAUCUCGUCAGACUCCAGACCGUCAGAACUGAUGGGACUCCGAAUAUAAGUGAAGUA
rfam:Schistosoma mansoni strain Puerto Rico chromosome 2, complete genome